UGAAACACGGACCAAGAAGUCUAGUAUGUACGCGAGUCAUUGGGUAUUAAACCUAUUGGCGCAAUAAAUGUGAAGGGCGGCUUGUUCGUCUGAUAUGUGAUCCGUCGGUCUCGGCCAGCGGCGCAACAUAGUCCCAUGCCUACUGCUUGCAGUGGUGUGGAGAUGGAGCGUACACACUAGGACCCGAAAGAUGGUGAACUAUGCCUGAGCAGGACGAAGUCAGAGGAAACUCUGAUGGAAGUCCGAAGCGGUUCUGACGUGCAAAUCGAUCGUCGGACUCGGGUAUAGGGGCGAAAGACUAAUCGAACCAUCUAGUAGCUGGUUCACACCGAAGUUUCCCCCAGGAUAGCUGGCACUUAUGUUUGUUGUAUCUUGUAAAGCUAAUGAUUAGAGGACUUGGGGACGAAAUGUUCUUAACCUAUUCUCAAACUUUCAAUGGGUAUGAUGUCGCGGUUGCUUAAGUGAACCGUGGCUGCGAAAGCGAGUGCCAAGUGGGCCAUUUUUGGUAAGCA
rnacentral:rRNA from 1 species